GGGUGGGCAUUUGUGGGCUGAGUAAUUCAGUGCCUCUGCACCUGAGAUGGGAGGAUGGCCAUUUUGUUUGUACGUGGGAUUUGUGUCCAGUUGGAUGACAAGGUUGCAGAGCCCUCAGGGAAGCAGGCUGGAGAGCAGACCUCAGACUGGAUCAGUUCUUGAGUCUGAUUGAAAGCCUGUAGCUUGAGUACAGUUGGCUGUUAGUGGGCAUAGGAGCAAAGGCUGGUGGAACUGGCAUAGUUUGGUCCACGGAAGCCUGGAAUUAGAUGAUGUUCUGUUACCAAUGGCCAGCAAGAUUCUUCAGCUCCUGGUACUACAACAUAGAGGUGAAGUCACUUUGUAGGUGAUCUUAGAAACAACCCUAACUGUAACCCUUAAACCAAGUUUUUUCCUGAGGUAAAUACUUCCCCAGUACUACAGGACUUCUUGAACGGAUUCUCCAGAGAACCUGCAAGGAAAACAAAGAAGCAAAGCAUGAAACGGCAGUAGACGUGUCAACAUAGUCUAUGGGAACUGCUGAGGCCUGAACCACUGAUUGAGCACCUGGGGAAAGGACCUGGUCAGCCCUGAGAGCACAGGUGAAGGCAAUUUAGCUGUUAGACACAAAGAGGGUGCAGCCUGACUGCAUCUCUCUUAGACCUCAUUUAAGGACCUCUGGUUGGGGAUCCCUCCUUGUUGAAGCUUUCCUGUGCAAACCUGGAAUCUACUGAUACAGAUGAGAUCUCACCCUGGCAAAUGAUGUUUCCUCUGCGUUUCUGCUGAUGACCCUCAGUCAGUGCUGCACCAGCCUAUGUGGUCACCUACCCUCGCUUUCACUGCACUGUCAGAUGAGCAUCAAACAGCAGCAAGCUACGUCACCCAAAACCAGUAAAAUGUCUGCAAAUGGCAGAUGAAAUCCUGCAGUCCAGAAGGCAACUUCAGAAAGGAAGGAGCAUCUCAACCUAAGGCAGGGUAUCUCUGUCUGAAGGCCUUGCAAACAGAUGAGCAGAGGCUGCCUGAAGUUUGCUCAGCUAUGCUGUGGUGCACGUGGAGGGGGUUCACAUUUCACCAGCACUUGUAGUAUGACUCACCCCAGGAAGAGGUUCCUCUGCUUGUGGUGGGACCGAGCAGUAAUGUUAUUACUGUACUGGCCUGGAUUUGCAGCUUCACGUUCUUGUUGUCUCUCUUGGUUUUGGUCAAGGUACACUCAGAAUUUUAUUUUUUUGUACCCACCUUAGCAGAAAAAUAACCAUGAGAAUUUAUACCGCUACAGUUCCUGUUCCCAGCAGAGCUGUAGGUAAAUACUCCAAGCUGCAUCUGAUUUGAUUUAAGAUCUUAUUUCUGUUGCUGAGGUAUGUUUUCCUUGCGAGGAGGGCAGUCAUCAAAGCCAUGAUGAUUCAUGCAGUUUUGCAAAGGGGUGGUUUGCUAGUUGUGUUCUCCCAAGCUGUUGCUAGGCUUGUGAAUCAGAUGUACCUUAUUCGUUCCCACAGAGCCAAGGACUUCAGCUGGAGCCAUGGCUGGGGGAGGACUGAAUGGUAAUGAGGGCUGGGUCAGGAGGGGGAACUUCCAUUCCAGGAGAAGUCCUGACACUCCCCAGCUCUUUUGUUAUGAAUUGGGAUGAAAAAGUGAAAUUUGGAAAUCUCCCAUGAGAUGUAUAUUUAGAAACUAGUCAGGAAAAAAGAAAAGUCUAAGUAAGACUAAAUGACAUUGAUUUGUUUCUACUUUCCUAUUGUAUAAAAAUGGAAAAACGAGACAUCAGGCAGUGAGAAAUAUCUGAAUGCAGAAAUGCAAUACAGAUUUUAUAUGUGUAGCUGUGGAAGCAAAAAGACCAUAAUGAAAUGGAACGCAUCAAUGCCAUUGAAAAGAACCACCGCGGCGGUGAUGAAACACCAUGUUUUGACAUUCUCCUGUUGUAAAAUUUCAUUGAAAUUGACAAACUGCCGAGAAAUAUUUUGAUUUUGAAUAGACUGUACUGGAUGAGAAAUUGCACUGUUGAAAAUUUUUCAGCUGGCUCCUUUGCAAACUGAGUAAACAGCUGACAAGCAGGCCAUCGUCGCUGCUGGAGACAGCGAGACAAACAUGCAAGGGUCAACUCCUGAGCAUUUCAGCAGUCACUCAUCAAAAUACCAUUUGACUUGAGCAGGAAGCUGGACUAAAUGUGAACGGUGGUGUUUGGCACACGGUAGGUGUCCAGAUGGCCUAGUGUUAGGCACUGCCUUCUGAGGGUGGAUCCCACCCAAGUUAUUAUCAAGGAUUCUUGCAACAGCCACGGGAGAGAUUGACAAGUCAGAUCGCCUUCAUUAGGAGCCAAAUUUGGGUCUGCUAAAUCACCCUCUAAAUUUCAAGCAGAUGAAAGAUGCUGAAGGAGGAGGAAGAUGGCAGGAGCGUUGUUCACUGGAAUGCAUGUACUGGAACGCACACUCACGUCUUCUGCUGGAGGGACCUCUGCCAAGGGAGAACAUCACUUCUCAGGAACUGCUGGUUCGAAUUGCCACUUAAUCUCUUGAAAUUGGCUUUCGUGUACACCCGUGGCACACGGACCUCAGCAGUCUGGUGCAGAGCUCAGUGCAGUGCAGCCUGACGAGUUGUGCUAGAUGCUCUAAAACCUUACCCUGGCUGCACUGAAAAGUGAGGUCCCUUGUGCAGCAGAACACAAGGAAGAUUCCAUGCUGAGUCCCAAAGACGCCUUCGUCUCUGUGUCUAUGCAGCCCCAACCUGUGGCUGUGGCCAUCCUAAGCACGUGAUGCUGGUGAGAUUCAAAGCUCUGAAGAAGCGGUCUUGGCAUGACUGUCUGCUGCUGAGUUUGCUGGAGAAAUUAAAACUUGUCUUGCAGAA